UGGGGAAUAUUGGACAAUGGGGGCAACCCUGAUCCAGCAAUGCCGCGUGCGUGAAGAAGGCCUUAGGGUUGUAAAGCGCUUUCGCCCGCGACGAUGAUGACGGUAGCGGGAGAAGAAGCCCCGGCUAACUCCGUGCCAGCAGCCGCGGUAAUACGGAGGGGGCGAGCGUUGUUCGGAAUUACUGGGCGUAAAGGGCGCGUAGGCGGCCCUGUCAGUCAGGCGUGAAAGCCCCGGGCUCAACCUGGGAUGUGCGUUUGAUACUGCGGGGCUCGAGACCGGAAGAGGAUGGCGGAAUACCCAGUGUAGAGGUGAAAUUCGUAGAUAUUGGGUGGAACACCAGUGGCGAAGGCGGCCAUCUGGUCCGGAUCUGACGCUGAGGCGCGAAAGCGUGGGGAGCAAACAGGAUUAGAUACCCCCGUAGUCC
rnacentral:rRNA from 1 species